rnacentral:rRNA from 1 species
UACAGAGGUCUCAAGCGUUGUUCGGAUUCAUUGGGCGUAAAGGGUGCGUAGGUGGCGCCGUAAGUCGGGUGUGAAAUUUCGGAGCUUAACUCCGAAACUGCAUUCGAUACUGCGGUGCUUGAGGACUGGAGAGGAGACUGGAAUUCAUGGUGUAGCAGUGAAAUGCGUAGAGAAUCAUGAGGAAGACCAGUGGCGAAGGCGGGUCUCUGGACAGUUCCUGACACUGAGGCACGAAGGCCAGGGGAGCAAACGGG